rnacentral:ncRNA from 1 species
CUUAUCCAGAGUGGUCGAGGGACGGGCCCGAUGAAACCCGGCAACCGGUUCGCGCGCAGGCGCGGCAAGGUGCCAAUUCCCGCGGCGCAAGGCCAUGCCUGCGCCGGAAGAUGAG